GCCUUUGUGGCGUAAUGGCUAACGCGUCUGACUUCUAAUCAGAAGAUUUCCAGUUCGACCCUGGACUAAGGCU
rnacentral:tRNA from 1 species